AAUUUAAUCAAAAUAUAAUUUUGCAUUUUUUCAUUUUUUGCAAUUAGGGAAUCCAUCGACCUGUCAAAGUUAAAUCACGUGAUCUUUGGUUGGCACACAAAACUGUUCUUAACCUAAACUCAAUGUAAUUAUUGAUUUUUCUUAUUUGUUUUUUGUCGUGAUUUUGAGGUAGUAUAGUAUUUAAAGACAUUCAUUAGAUUAAUUAUUUUAUAAACUUUACGUUUUUGGUGAUUUUGAGUGCUGACAACAUGCCUGUGACUUGUAUAUUAGUGAACUGUGGAAGUCCAACUGAUCGGGAUAAUGUUAAUUUUAAUUUGUUUUUUGUCCUGAUUUUGAGCUAAUAUAGUAUUUAAAGACAUUCAUUAGAUUAAUUAUUUUAUAAACUUUACGUUCUUGGUGAUUUUGAGUGCUGACAACAUGCCUGUCACUUGUAUAAUAGUGAACUGUGCAAUGAACUGUGCAAGUCCAACUGAUCAGAAUAAUGUUAAUUUUAAUUUGUUUUUUGUCGUGAUUUUGAGCUUAAUAUAGUAUUUAAAGACAUUCAUUAGAUUAAUUAUUUUAUAAACUUUUCGUUUGUGGUGAUUUUAAGUGCUGAAAACAUGCCUGUAAUCUGUAUAGUAGUGAACUGUGGAAGUCGAGCUGAUCGGAUAAUGUUAAUUUUUUUCGUGUUCCCUCUAUAGGGCUUUUUAUUCACAGUCAUUUGUUUUGAGCUUCUGUCAUAUGUCGUAUAAUCCGUGUAUAGUAAUAUUAUACACGGAUUAUACAACAUCUGACAGAAGCUCGAAACAAAUGACAAUCGAUGAAAACGUAUUAGAAACUCAUUUAUGUUUCCUCACCUAACUAAAUUGUCAAAUAACAGGACGCACUCAUGCUAGGAAUUAUGGUUUUUAUUAAUAUUAUUACAAUUAUUUAUAUGUGACACUAACGUAACUAGUGACAUUCAUUUUUAGGCCAAUGUGACAAACUUUAUUAAUACUAAAUUUUAACAUUUAUCCCCUAUUUUGUUAAAACAAUAUUAUUUUGUUUUUCAUUCUAUUCAAAAUAAAUGCAGUUUUGACAGGGAA